rnacentral:rRNA from 1 species
UACAGAGGUGGCAAGCGUUGUUCGGAAUUACUGGGCAUAAAGCGCACGCAGGCGGUCUGUUAAGUCAGGUGUGAAAGCCCCCGGCUCAACCGGGGAACAGCAUUUGAUACUGGCAAACUCGAGGAUGGUAGGGGUGAGUGGAACUCCAGGUGGAGCGGUGAAAUGCGUAGAUAUCUGGAGGAACACCGGUGGCGAAGGCGGCGUUCUGGACUGCAACUGACACUGAGGAACGAAAGCCAGGGGAGCAAACGGG